UCACGACGUUAGGGGUCUCGCUCGGCGGACCGGGCGGGUGAGAGACACCCUCUGAACCUGAUGCGGAUCAUGCCGCCGUAGGGAAGCGUUGAGCGGAAAUU
rnacentral:ncRNA from 2 species